GGGGGAGCUAAUCCGAUAAAACCGUUCUCAGUUCGGAUUGUAGGCUGCAACUCGCCUACAUGAAGCCGGAAUCGCUAGUAAUCGCGGAUCAGCAUGCCGCGGUGAAUACGUUCCCGGGCCUUGUACACACCGCCCGUCACACCACGAGAGUUUGUAACACCCGAAGUCGGUGAGGUAACCUUUAUGGAGCCAGCCGCCGAAGGUGGGAUAGAUGAUUGGGGUGAAGUCGUAACAAGGUAGCCGUAUCGGAAGGUGCGGCUGGAUCACCUCCUUUCUAAGGA
rnacentral:rRNA from 1 species